UACGAAGGGGGCUAGCGUUGCUCGGAAUCACUGGGCGUAAAGGGUGCGUAGGCGGGUCUUUUAAGUCAAGGGGUGAAAUCCUGGAGCUCAACUCCAGAACUGCCUUUGAUACUGAGGAUCUUGAGUUCGGGAGAGGUGAGUGGAACUGCGAGUGUAGAGGUGAAAUUCGUAGAUAUUCGCAAGAACACCAGUGGCGAAGGCGCUCACUGGCCCGAUACUGACGCUGAGGCACGAAAGCGUGGGGAGCAAACAGGG
rnacentral:rRNA from 1 species